AUUAAGUCAAAUGUACGGCCAUCAAUAAUGAUAACAAGAGUGCACAGGCUGAAAUUUCUCGCCUCUUUACUGCCAAAUGAUUGCCAUGCUGAUAGUCCUACUUUACUACAAGUAACACAUUAACUUUGCAUGAUCAAAGAAAAAGAGGUCAAGGCCAGAUAAUUUAAAACCAAACCGGAAAACAUGUAUUACUCCUUAUAAUCAUUCCAUAC
rnacentral:lncRNA from 1 species